GAUGAACGCUGGCGGCGUGCCUAAUACAUGCAAGUCGAGCGAACAGACGAGGAGCUUGCUUCUCUGACGUUAGCGGCGGACGGGUGAGUAACACGUGGAUAACCUGCCUAUAAGACUGGGAUAACUUCGGGAAACCGGAGCUAAUACCGGAUAAUAUAUUGAACCGCAUGGUUCAAUAGUGAAAGACGGUUUUGCUGUCACUUAUAGAUGGAUCCGCGCCGCAUUAGCUAGUUGGUAAGGUAACGGCUUACCAAGGCAACGAUGCGUAGCCGACCUGAGAGGGUGAUCGGCCACACUGGAACUGAGACACGGUCCAGACUCCUACGGGAGGCAGCAGUAGGGAAUCUUCCGCAAUGGGCGAAAGCCUGACGGAGCAACGCCGCGUGAGUGAUGAAGGUCUUCGGAUCGUAAAACUCUGUUAUUAGGGAAGAACAAAUGUGUAAGUAACUAUGCACGUCUUGACGGUACCUAAUCAGAAAGCCACGGCUAACUACGUG
rnacentral:rRNA from 1 species